AUGAACGCUGGCGGCGUGCCUAAUACAUGCCAGUCGAGCGAACAGAUGAGGAGCUUGCUCCUCUGACGUUAGCGGCGGACGGGUGAGUAACACGUGGAUAACCUACCUAUAAGACUGGGAUAACUUCGGGAAACCGGAGCUAAUACCGGAUAAUAUAUUGAACCGCAUGGUUCAAUAGUGAAAGACGGUUUUGCUGUCACUUAUAGAUGGAUCCGCGCCGCAUUAGCUAGUUGGUAAGGUAACGGCUUACCAAGGCAACGAUGCGUAGCCGACCUGAGAGGGUGAUCGGCCACACUGGAACUGAGACACAGUCCAGACUCCUACGGGAGGCAGCAGUAGGGAAUCUUCCGCAAUGGGCGAAAGCCUGACGGAGCAACGCCGCGUGAGUGAUGAAGGUCUUCGGAUCGUAAAACUCUGUUAUUAGGGAAGAACAAAUGUGUAAGUAACUAUGCACGUCUUGACGGUACCUAAUCAGAAAGCCACGGCUAACUACGUG
rnacentral:rRNA from 1 species